UUUAACCAAUAAAUUGCAUUUCAACCAAUUAAUUGCAUUAUAUUUAACCAGUAUGUAUUCACAAAUGUACUAUAUCGUCAUCUAUAGCCUAUGGGCCGGAUUCAACAAAAAGCCCAGCAAAAGAAAGCCAAAAUUAGGAAUCGCUCCCACCCUAGCCCGAGCCGGCGAGCCCCCUUCGGUCCUUCCCAGUCUGUCCGCCCCCCUCCCUACCGCCGCCGUCUGCGCCCCAGACGGCCAGACCCAGCCAGUGCGCCUCCGCCUCCGGCCCUCCGUCCUCCGCCCAGCGCCCCAGCCCCAACGUCCGGCUCCGGCGAUCGGCUUCCGAGCUCCCCAACUUCAGCAGGGCUGCAGCCCACAGGGGAGGUAGUACUGAGGGGUGGGGGGCAGCCGCCAGCCGGGACAUCCAGGGGCGGCGAGUGCGGAGCGCCCCAGCACCAGCGCGGCAGCGCCCCAGCGGCCUGCGGCGCCGAGUACUGCUACGCAAGCCAGCAGCCCAGCAAGGUUCAGGGGCAAGUUCCUGAAGCGGGGAGUGAAGGAGGUCAUCAGGAGCAACAGCAGUGGCCCUGAAUUUCAAUCUUUUCUCCUUUGUCAACUAGACCUAAUAUGCAGUACACAUCCCAUGGGGAAAUAGAAACCACGUGGCCCUGAAUUGUAAAGGUCCUAUCUGCUGCAUUGAAUUUCAACAAGACUCUCCACUAGCAUACGUUGAAUAGGCAUCGAUGGAAUAUUAAGGAACUUGCCUAAUCCUAUUUUUUCAACUAUAUCCCUUUGAUCCUUUGUCAAUUUCCUGCAUAAUGCAGCAAAUUUUCCUGGCAUACACACGGUUGCAACCUGGUUAUCAAACAUAUAAAAAACAACAAAAUAUAUCAAAUUAAAAAAUGACUCUGAAGGCCUUGUCCAUAAUAUAUUACAAACAAGAACGUACCAUCUUUGACCAGCACACAACUCGAUUCACCAACUCUAUGGACUGGUCAAUCCCUUAAACAAUCUAAUGGGAGUGGCUUUAUUCUGUAUUCUCCAUCUCCUUCAGUUUCACCCAGAGAUGAAUCUAAAGCAAAGUCUGCUGAUAAGAUACAGGGAUGGGGAUAGAGGGCCAAAGCAUUGCUCAGCAACCUCGGUGGCAGGACAUAUUCCGGCUUACCUUUCCAGCCGUGGCUGACGGACCGCGGAAGCCGAUGUGGCGGACCACCGGGAUGCACAACACGCGGUGGCCGCCGGCAAGACGCCGUCGAGUGCAGGGGCGGCGUAGAAGGCGGCGGCAGCCUCUAUGUAGCGAUGGAACCCUAAUCCAUGCCCAUGUUGAAUCCAUCUCCGAGAGUAUAGGAACCAGGCUAACAGAAUCAUGAAUCUCGGAACGAGGGCGGCGUAGGAGGCGGCGGCGGGCGAUUCUAUUUAUCGCGCGCGCUACUGCACGCGAUUUCGUCGCAGAAGCUCUUCGCGGAGCUCGUUGUCGGUCCGUCUGGAUUUCAGAGGCCCAUUUAGCCUGGCGGCCCAUAUUAAUCUCCCGAUUCGCCCUUCCUUUUUCCUGGAUUUCCUGCCUUUUCGGCUUCUCAGUUAGGGUUUGUGCCGCCGAGGCGAUUCUCAUUCGCCCCAUUCCUCGCGGAUUCGGAUGUCUCCGUCCCAGCAUCUGUGAAGGGUCUACCAUGAAUUCUGAAGCCAAGCUUUUAUGUUGUGGCACCUCAAGAAUGUCAAAGUAACUGGGUUCUAUGAGAUGAUACUUUUUGCAGUUCAAGUAGUUUACAUGUCUGCAGCUCUGAAAAACUAAGCGUACUGUUUAUUACUCUAUUUGGUUACA